rnacentral:rRNA from 1 species
UACGUAGGGGGCAAGCGUUGUCCGGAAUCAUUGGGCGUAAAGAGCGUGUAGGCGGCCCGGUAAGUCCGCUGUGAAAGUCCAGGGCUCAACCCUGGGAUGCCGGUGGAUACUGUCGGGCUCGAGUCCGGAAGAGGAGUGUGGAAUUCCUGGUGUAGCGGUGAAAUGCGCAGAUAUCAGGAGGAACACCGAUGGCGAAGGCAGGUCUCUGGGCCGAUACUGACGCUGAGGAGCGAAAGCGUGGGGAGCGAACAGG